GAUGAACGCUGGCGGCGUGCUUAACACAUGCAAGUCGAACGAUGAAGCUCCAGCUUGCUGGAGUGGAUUAGUGGCGAACGGGUGAGUAACACGUGAGUAACCUGCCCUUGACUCUGGGAUAAGCCUUGGAAACGAGGUCUAAUACCGGAUAGGAGCACUCAUCGCAUGGUGGGUGUUGGAAAGAAUUUCGGUCAUGGAUGGACUCGCGGCCUAUCAGCUUGUUGGUGAGGUAAUGGCUCACCAAGGCGACGACGGGUAGCCGGCCUGAGAGGGUGACCGGCCACACUGGGACUGAGACACGGCCCAGACUCCUACGGGAGGCAGCAGUGGGGAAUAUUGCACAAUGGGCGCAAGCCUGAUGCAGCGACGCCGCGUGAGGGAUGACGGCC
rnacentral:rRNA from 1 species